CCGAGUUUACAACUCCCAAACCCCUGUGAACAUACCUAUCGUUGCUUCGGCGGACCACCCCAACCCCUUCGGGGCGCGGGGCCCGCCAGAGGACACCCAAAAUUCAAAUGUAUUUUGCCUUUACAAAUUUAUUCUGAGUGGAAUUUUUAAAUAAAUCA
rnacentral:misc_RNA from 1 species